UACGAAGGGGGCUAGCGUUGCUCGGAAUCACUGGGCGUAAAGCGCACGUAGGCGGACUCUUAAGUCAGGGGUGAAAUCCUGGAGCUCAACUCCAGAACUGCCUUUGAUACUGGGAGUCUUGAGUCCGGAAGAGGUAAGUGGAACUGCGAGUGUAGAGGUGAAAUUCGUAGAUAUUCGCAAGAACACCAGUGGCGAAGGCGGCUCACUGGCCCGAUACUGACGCUGAGGAGCGAAAGCAUGGGGAGCAAACGGG
rnacentral:rRNA from 1 species